UCCUACGGGGCGCAGCAGUGGGGGAUAUUGCACAAUGGGGGGAACCCUGAUGCAGCGACGCCGCGUGGGUGAAGGAGUGCUUCGGCAUGUAAAGCCCUAUCGGCAGGGAAGAAGCAAGACGGUACCUGACUAAGAAGCCCCGGCUAACUACGUGCCAGCAGCCGCGGUAAUACGUAGGGGGCGAGCGUUAUCCGGAUUCACUGGGUGUAAAGGGAGCGUAGACGGCCAAGCAAGCCAGGGGUGAAAGCCCGGUGCCCAACCCCGGGACUGCCCUUGGAACUGCACGGCUGGAGUGCGGGAGGGGC
rnacentral:rRNA from 1 species